CUGAAAGAAACAAUUUGGAAGGGAAAGAAUGGUGAAGUCUACUAACAUCAGCAUUGCUCUUAUCAUUUUAUCAUUUCUUUUCAUCAUGGUGUUUGUAGCUGAAUCACGACCAACGCCAACAUUUGUGCAACCUAUAUGUAAAUCAAUUCAUGGGGUGGAAGAAAGUGAAACUUGUUCUAGCAUCAUUGCAAGGUUCACUCUUGAUCAGCGCCAGUUCCUGGCGAUUAAUCCCAACAUCAACUGCGUUGGUAUCUUUGUGGGCCAAUGGGUGUGUGUGGAUGGUAAAGUGUAAGCUCGGCCAAUAGUCCAGUCGAAUAAAUGUACAAUAAGGAGGACUUGAACCAACUUUUCUCCAUACAUAUAUUGUCCAAGAGCACUUAUGAAAUAUUUCAAUCAUCCAAUCUCAAUCUAAUGUAAUAUGCUUGAAUUUAUGAAACGGAUGAAGGGAACAUUCAUUCAUA